rnacentral:rRNA from 1 species
GAUGAACGCUGGCGGCGUGCUUAACACAUGCAAGUCGAACGAACCUUCGGGUUAGUGGCGGACGGGUGAGUAACGCGUGAGAAUCUGCCCUCAGGAGGGGGAUAACGGCUGGAAACGGCCGCUAAUACCCCAUAUGCCGAGAGGUGAAAUGAAUUUCGCCUGAGGAUGAGCUCGCGUCUGAUUAGCUUGUUGGUGGGUAAUGGCCUACCAAGGCGACGAUCAGUAGCUGGUCUGAGAGGAUGAUCAGCCACACUGGGACUGAGACACGGCCCAGACUCCUACGGGAGGCAGCAGUGGGGAAUUUUCCGCAAUGGGCGAAAGCCUGACGGAGCAACGCCGCGUGAGGGAUGAAGGCCUCUGGGCUGUAAACCUCUUUUAUCAAGGAAGAAGAUCUGACGGUACUUGAUGAAUAAGCCACGGCUAAUUCCGUG